UGACCGUAAACUAUGCCAUCUAGCGAUCCGAUGGGGUAUUGUUGCCUUGUCGAGGAGCUUCCCGGAAACGAAAGUCUUUCGGUUCCUGGGGUAGUAUGGUUGCAAAGCUGAAACUUAAAGAAAUUGACGGAAUGGCACCACCAGGAGUGGAGCCUGCGGCUUAAUUUGACUCAACACGGGAAAACUCACCCGGCCCGGACACCGUAAGGAUUGACAGAUUGAAAGCUCUUUCUCGAUUUGGUGGUUGGUGGUGCAUGGCCGUUCUUAGUUGGUGGAGCGAUUUGUCUGGUUUAUUCCGAUAACGAGCGAGACUCUAGCCUGCUAAAUAGUGGCUGGAUUUUCACGUCCAGUCUACUUCUUAGAGGGAUAAGCGGUGUUUAGCCGCACGAGAUUGAGCGAUAACAGGUCUGUGAUGCCCUUAGAUGUCCGGGGCUGCACGCGCGCUACAAUGGAAGAAUCAGCUGGCCUAUCCAUUGCCGAAAGGCAUUGGUAAACCGUUGAAACUCUUCCGUGACCGGGAUAGGGAAUUGUAAUUAUUUCCCUUGAACGAGGAAUUCCUAGUAAGUGUGAGUCAUCAGCUCACGCUGAUUACGUCCCUGCCCUUUGUAA
rnacentral:rRNA from 1 species